rnacentral:rRNA from 1 species
AUUGAACGCUGGCGGCAGGCCUAACACAUGCAAGUCGAACGAGCCGCGUACGGGUGAUUAAUUUCUGGGAAACUGCCUGAUGGAUGGGGAUAACUACCGGACACGGUAGCUAAUACCGCAUUCAUUCGGCUGUGCCCAGUUGGGAUUAGCUAGUAGGUGGGGUAAAGGCUCCCCUAGGCGACGAUCCGUAGCUGGUCUGAGAGGAUGACCAGCCACACUGGAAUUGAGACACGGUCCAGACUCCUACGGGAGGCAGCAGUGGGGAAUAUUGCACAAUGGGCGCAAGCCUGAUGCAGCCAUGCCGCGUGUAUGAAGAAGGCCUUCGGGUUGUAAAGUACUUUCAGCGGGGAGGCGUUACCAGCAGAAGAAGCACCGGCUAACUCCGUGCCAGCAGCCGCGGUAAUUC